CCCCCCGAUGGUCCCCCCCCGGUUUUUUGCCCGACCCCCCCAGUUUUCAUAGGAUAACAACCCUUCUCCCGUUCUCCCCCCCCAGGGGGUCCCUUAUCCCCUUUUAUUAUCCUCUUUAAGGGGCGCGGUCCCCCCGGGCACCUUGCCUUUUCCGUCUUAGGGGGGGGGUCUCCCCACCUUUGUAUUGGCUCGGGCCCCACUCCUUCGGGGGCGCCUUUGGGGAAUCUCCGCAAUUCCCUUAUUCCGUCGGUUUCAAUCCCCUUUGUGCACCUUACUUUUCGGCUCGUAGAGUUCCCUUUUCUUUUUGCCAACAACAUUAUAAACUUCCCACUCCCUCUCCCCUCCUUACCCGAGAGCCUCGCCUAAUACUUGCCAGCAGCCGCGGUAUUCGUAGGUGCCAAGCUUUGUCCGAAAUUAUGGGCGUAAAGGGCUCGCCGGCGGUUUCUUAAGUUGAUGUGAAAGCCCCCGGCUCAACCGGGGAGGGUCAUUGGAAACUGGGAAACUUGAGUGCAGAAGAGGAGAGUGGAAUUCCACGUGUAGCGGUGAAAUGCGUAGAGAUGUGGAGGAACACCAGUGGCGAAGGCGACUCUCUGGUCUGUAACUGACGCUGAGGAGCGAAAGCGUGGGGAGCGAACAGGAUUAGAUACCCUGGUAGUCCACGCCGUAAACGAUGAGUGCUAAGUGUUAGGGGGUUUCCGCCCCUUAGUGCUGCAGCUAACGCAUUAAGCACUCCGCCUGGGGAGUACGGUCGCAAGACUGAAACUCAAAGGAAUUGACGGGGGCCCGCACAAGCGGUGGAGCAUGUGGUUUAAUUCGAAGCAACGCGAAGAACCUUACCAGGUCUUGACAUCCUCUGACAACCCUAGAGAUAGGGCUUUCCCUUCGGGGACAGAGUGACAGGUGGUGCAUGGUGACGAGAGAUCGUAGAUGCCCCAAAAAC
rnacentral:rRNA from 1 species